UAUCAUUAAUCCCCAAAAUUAAUAUUUUAAUUAAACUACCUCCUGA
rnacentral:tRNA from 1 species